CCUACGGGAGACAGCAGUGAGGAAUAUUGGUCAAUGGGCGAGAGCCUGAACCAGCCAAGUCGCGUGAAGGAUGACGGCCCUACGGGUUGUAAACUUCUUUUGUCAGGGAGCAAUUUGGUCCACGCGUGGGCUUAGCGAUAGUACCUGCAGACAAAGCAUCGGCUAACUCCGUGCCAGCAGCCGCGGUAAUACGGAGGAUGCGAGCGUUAUCCGGAUUUAUUGGGUUUAAAGGGUGCGUAGGCGGAAUAUCAAGUCAGCGGUAAAAAUUCGGGGCUCAACCCCGUCGUGCCGUUGAAACUGAUGUUCUGGAGUGGGCGAGAAGUAUGCGGAAUGCGUGGUGUAGCGGUGAAAUGCAUAGAUAUCACGCAGAACUCCGAUUGCGAAGGCAGCAUACCGGCGCCCAACUGACGCUGAAGCACGAAAGCGUGGGUAUCGAACAGGAUUAGAUACCCCGGUAGUC
rnacentral:rRNA from 1 species